AAAUAUUAAUUGUUAACUGGAAGGACAUUCAAACAAUGGCACAUGGAUAGUUCACAAAAUGAAAUGAUUAUACUAUGGUCUCAACUGUCAGUACUUCGGUGAAUAAUAGAUAAAUAAAAAAAAAUUGUAUAAUCUUGAAUGUUUCACAGGUUUUUAAAACAUACAAAAAGAAGAACAGAUGCGAGCACUUGUAAUGACCGGAUGGAAACAAAACAGUCAAUUCAAUAGUGAUUUAUGCAUGUUCUCAAAGUAAAUUAUUUACCUCAAGCCCCAUAUGAUAGAAAAGGAAAGAUCAUUUUGAUCAGCAAAAAUACAGAAAUAACAGACACGAUGAAAUGCAAAUUAA
rnacentral:misc_RNA from 1 species